ACUCCUGUUGAGGAGAGCCGGCCUGCAGACUCUUAAUCUGUGGGUCCUGAGUUCGAGCCUCAGCGGGGUCA
rnacentral:tRNA from 1 species